AUAGGUAGUAUAUACACUAGCACUGGAGCAGUGCAGAGAAGCUUAGCAUGGGCCCUGUGCAAGGAUGACAUACAAAUUCAUCAAGCGUUCCAUAUUUUU
rnacentral:snRNA from 1 species